rnacentral:rRNA from 1 species
UAGCCUUGACAUAUAUUAGAAUCCGACAGAGAUGUUGGAGUGCCUUCGGGAGCUUUUAUAC